rnacentral:rRNA from 1 species
AUAGCUUUGGUCCUGGGCUUACCGUUAUUUUUUAUCAAGAUUAUACAUGCAAGCCUCAACAAUCCAGUGAAAAUGCCCAAAACCCCUUAAAAGACAAAAUGGAGCAGGCAUCAGGCACUAUAGCAAGCCCAUAACGCCUAGCCACGCCACACCCCCACGGGCUCACCAGCAGUAAUAAACAUUGGGCCAUAAGUGAAAACUUGACCCAACUAUGAUAACUUAGGGCUGGUCAAUUUCGUGCCAGCCACCGCGGUUAUACGAAAGGCCCAAAAUAACGACAAACCGGCGUAAAAUGUGACUAGAGAUCUUUAAUAUUUUAAGCUUCAAAAUCCAUAGUCUAGUUGUAAAACACUAGGACUAUGAAGAAAACCAACACAAGUGUUCUUAAUGUUAUAUUCUUGACCACACGAAAGCUUAGAAACAAACUAGGAUUAGAUACCCUACUAUGCUAAGCCCUGAACAUUGAUAGUUUUAAUACAACGCUUCCCGCCAGAGAACUACAAGUGAAAAACUUGAAACUCAAAGGACUUGACGGUGUCCCAUAUCGG